UCUCCGUUGGUGAACCAGCGGAGGGAUCAUUAUCGAGUUUAUAACUCCCAAACCCUAUGUGAACUUACCACUUGUUGCUUCGGCGCGCGCUUCGGCGCCGCCGAGGACACUUAAACUCUUUGUUUUUAUAAGCAUUUCUGAGUGGCCGAAAGGCAAAAUACAAAUGAAUCAAAACUUCCAACAACGGAUCUCUUGGUUCUG
rnacentral:misc_RNA from 1 species